UGAGAUUCUGUUGUAAAUGAUAAAAGAUAAUGAGAAGUUUAAAUACUUUUUUUUCAAGUUAUCUAAAUAUUGGACAAAAGAAGAACAAAAAUAUGUUAUUUGGGUCACGUUUCUUAGCAGUUGCAGCAGUCAAAUAAAUGUUGCUACACAGUCUUCAGUCAUCUCCUCCUUUUUGAGCUAACUUCUUUAACUAUGUUAACCAUCAAAAUUGACAGCAGAAAAAUAAAAUCAGCAGGUGUGAUUGUCCUUUCAUUCUUUAGGUAAAAUCACCCAUAAAUAUUUCUAAUAAAAGUGGUUUGUCUUCUGAGACAUUUAAGAAUGUAUGUGUAAGCAGAAGUGUACGGCAGCACUAAGAAACCGAUAGGAUAUCUGACCUCAUACAUUGUGACAGCAUGGCUUUCAAAUCUUGUCUUCCAAAUGGGUUCUGAUUCUAAAUCAAUUUUCAAAUGGAAUUGGUUUCAUUUUGCUUUUAGUGGGAUUUAUGUAGCAUUUCCCUUUCAGUGCGAAAGUCAAACAGGCAGCUGAGGGGACGGUCCUGGCUUUGCUCCUGAGUCUGGCUGCUCACGAGGUGUCCUGCAAUUCAUGCUGGGAAUUGUUGCAUGGCAGAAGCACACUGUGACCCUCGUUCUGGACUUAUGCAGCGAAUGUUUAAAGCUGUGUUGUGCCAGUGAGUGCUGACUGUUCCAGAGCACCAUCUGCUCAGCUGUGGUAACGCUGAUGCCGUGUGACAGGGCUGUCGUGCGGUUGGUUACCAGUCAUGGAAACCCCAACCAGUACAAAACCGUCACUGGAGCCAAAUUAAAAGCGAUCCCUCGUAGGUGUGCAGGACGGGAAGCGCCUCCUGCGUGCUUUGGGGCGGUUCCGUGUGGGGCAGGGAGUCGGACUCGAUCCCCCCGGGUCCCUUCCAGCUCAGGACUGCGCGAUUCCUGUCAGCGCUGGUACCUUACAGAUACCGCCUCUAACCUCAGCGUCUUUAAAUGCUGUUGUGAGGAGGAGAAUCUGUAAUUAACCGCGCAUUUUAACGUUUCAAAAGGGAUUUUUAAGGCUUAGAACCACUACUCCAGCACGCCUCCCAACGCGCCCCUCACAGCGGGCGGUACGUCAUCAGCACGCGCCGCUCCCCGCGCGCCAUCACAGCAGGGCGUUACGUCAUCAGCACGCGACGCGCCUCAUCGCAGCGGAGCCGUACGUCAUCAGUGCGCGCAGCGCCGGUCACGUGUCCCUUGUUUACCUCCGGCGGGAGUUGCGCUGCUGCGGCCGGCUGUGCGCGGGCGGGCGGCUUCCCUGGGAGGAGGGGAAGCACUUCGCGGCGAAGGCAGGUGGGAAGCGGACAGGCUUACGAUGUCGCUGCCAACGAAGAGGUGUGGAAGACCCCCGGUGUUGUCUUUCUUGGAAAAGAAAAAAAGAAAACAAAGUCUUGAUAGGAGGAGAGGGAAAACCAGGAUUUAUGUUGGAAAUCAUAUCGACCGAUGGCUGACGCUGAAGGAAAAACUGGAUUUCAGAAACGAUGCAGAAGUCGCUGGGUUUUUAUUGGACUUGUAUGACAGCUAUGACCCGCUGACAAAAGCUCCCAUCUGUCCCCUCCCUGGGGGUGUGAGAAGAAUCACUGUGAAAGAAGAAAGAACAUUGUCAGACAGUGCUUGCUUAAUAGCAGCUGACGGAACGUAUGAUGAUGGUGACCGGUUGUCUAAAGAGGCUGCUUGUUCUGAACAUGGAGACUUCAGAAUCCUCACUGUGAAAGAGGAGCAAGAGAUGCCACCUCAUUGCUCAUCAGUGGAGACAGAUAACACGUUAGUGAUACCAUGGGGUUCUUUUUGCAUGUUUUAUAUUUGAAAAUGUUUUGUAUUGACUUUUAUUAUCACUUUUAAUUUAGCUUAUCAGAAGCUCGCAUCAUUCAAUUCAUGCUCUGUUUCCUUACCUGAAAGGUGAUGAUCAUUCCAGUCACUGUGAGGGAAGCAUCUGGGGGAGUUUUUGGAAGAGCUGUUUCUUAGAGUAUACACAGCAAACUCCUUGUUCAGUGACUUGUCUUCCUGAAGUCUGUGAAUAGAACAAGAAAGUAGCUGAUACGUGUGAAAUAUUGGCUGCAUUAGUAAAUAACAAGGUUUUCAGUCAUGCAGUUUACACACACAUGUAUGGUUUAACAUUUUAGAAAAGAAAAAUGUUUCUUUGUUGACUGUUUGAGUGAUAAUGCAUACGAAGUGAUGCAUAAACCUACUUAGAAGUAGUGCUGUGCUCAAGGAGGCAACCACGCCAUCAGUCGACUGCUGAUGUCUUUUACUGCAGUGUCACCAGUAACUGAGGCAUUCACAGUUGAGAGAUCAGAGGAGCCUCAAAUAGGUAUGCUUGUCGUUUACUAUCUAUUUAGGUUUCAGUUAUCCACAAGUGUUACUGAAUAAUCAUCAUUUUCUCCUUGUCUUAGUUAUCAGAUGUUUUACAAAUGUAUCUUUUAAUAUGUGCAGGGGGACACUGAGAUCCUAGGACAUUGGCAUUGCACGGUGUGUCCAAACCCUUCGCUAACAUGAAUAGGUGAACGUGUUGGGCUUCUGGAAGUAAUUCACUGGCUCAGAAGAAUUACUGGCAGCUGGAUCAGGAGAAAACAAACACCAGCGCUGAUGAAGCUGAAAAUUUCAAGUUAAUUCUUCAAAACAGCACUUUCCUAGGACAGUACAGUUUUAGGUUGGAGUGCUGCAAUACUUUAAUUCCUGGGACUGACUUCCUACAGGGUAACCAGCAAGAAGAAAAUCAAGCACUUGAAUAAUGACUUUGGGGCAGUUCUUGGACCUCUUUGGUUUUGCUGGGAGGGUUUUGUGAGUUACAAAGAAUGACUGUAAGUUCUCGUAUGAAAUCCCAUGUAAUUCAUUGAACAACUAAUUAAACUUUAAUUACCUAAAGUUCUGUUGUGUUACCUUAGUGUUAAUAAAGCGUGUGGAGUGGAUUUACUUAACUGUGAGGUUCUGUGCAAAAUUUUCUUGGCAUCAGGACUGUACAAUUACUGGCUGUAAUGCCAGUAGGUGCGUUGCAGACUUACUCAAUGUCAGUUACUUCUCAUACUUUGUAUUAACAAAAAGGUUCCUCAGAAUUUAUUAAAACUCCAAGGGUUAAAACAGAAACAACUUCCCAGCAGCAGUUGCAGCAUGAAGUACAUUUCCUGCCUGAAUGCUUUUCUUUGGGUGAUUUUGCUAGGGAGCAAAUUUGAAAUAUUGCACAUAAUGGAAGGCAUAUUUAGAGGUCACUGAUGCAAUUAAUGAUGGUGAAAACAAUGGACUAAGCAGUGUGUUGUGUUAUUUCCUUCUAAAAAUUGAGUAAUUGAGAUCAGAUGUUGCUGUUCAUUUCGUGGAAUAAUUUGAUUGGUUGUUUGGCUCUUGAUAUUAUGGAGGCUGACACAUAGCACAUUUUAUUAUGCCUCUCUUACAGUGUACCUUAACUUGUUCUUUUGUAGAGAAAGUAAUUAAAUAUGGAGUACCUUUUGUAACAAGUUCAACGGAAUAGUGUAGAGUUCUGAAUUAGUUCUGCAGUUAGAUAUGAGUAAUCUGGAAAGUUCUUAACUGAAAAACUGUGAGAUUAGUGUGAUGGUAUUGAGUGCAUGUCUGUCAAAAGGGCAGGAACUCCCAGUCUUCAGUUUUCUUUUUUUCAUUUAAACCACACACUUUCAUAAUUAUUUGGGUUGUGAUCAUUAUUCAAACCAGUCGGGUUUUCCGUUGACUUCCAUCAGAACAGCCUCUUUCUAUGGAGAAAUUCCCCUAAUGGCAUUCAGCUUUUUCACUUGUGAUAAGAAGCUGCUGAUCUUAAAUAUGCUUUUUAUUUUUCGUGUGUUGAAUAUAAACGUUCUGACUUGGCUUGUUAAUAUAUCUUUUGUCAAAUGGCUCACAGAGAACUUGUAAGUAAACUGGAAAGGAUUAUUUGUUAGAGCUUCCUCCAAUUGGAAGUGCCAUUUCCCAGGCCUUUGUCUGUGUUCUCUUUGCUCUGUGCCUUUCACUGUUCUGACUCCUAAGCAGUCACUUGUGUAAGUGACUCAGUUUGGCCCAUGGAAGAUAGUGGGGCUGGUGAUACGAGCUGUCAGUUAAAUGACUUCAUUGCUCUCAGAUUGUAUCCUGUCAGUGUCACCACUGCGAAAAGGGGAAAGGAUUUGGCCUUUGGCAUAAUCAUUUGUCUGCCUCUGAAGCCAACACCAUCAGCAGAAGAGCCUGCUGCUGCAAUAGCUCUUUGCAUGAGGAGCUCUGUCCAUCACCGUCCUGCCAGCCUGGUUCUUGUGCUUUAAAAAAGAACAGUCAGAAUUCUGUCAUGCCACUCUCGUGGAAGUGAACUGAUGCUGCAAAUGCAUUAUAUUUUUAGGUGCACUCGGUAUGUAAAAUGCUGGUAGGAUGUUUAUUCUGAUAGUACUGAAUGUAGUGUGAUACAGCUGCUACUGUACUGGAUAAUGAUGUUGACACAAUUAACAGAAACUUACAGAAUUUAACUGUCAUUUGUGUUGUCCAUUAAAUUUUGCAGAAUGGUUGCACAGUAGUGAGUCUGACACAGGAGAUAUCUGCUCCUGCUGACAGUUAGAGAGCAACGCCUCUGUUUUUGUCAAACAAAUAACAGCACAGUCAGUUUUUCUGCAGCUGUGGGUCUAUGGGAAUUGCUGAACUAGAUUGUGUUCAAAUGUAAGAACUGAAUAUUGGUCACGCUGCUGCUCCAAUGAUGGAUUGAGAACAUGGAGGAAUUAAAACGUAAAAUAAUUAAGUAAAAUAAUUGGGCUCUUAGCAAUGCCACAUAUUGAUUUCUAACAUAAGUACUAGAAAGGAAUUUGUAGUGAAAGGUGAACAAAAAGCUGUAAAACACACAGGUUUGUUCUUGUGUUUAUAAUGUGGACUGACUGUCAUGUUUGCUUUUCUUAGGACUGUGGCUCUAUUAAACCUUUCUGAAAUGUGAUUAACUACAGAACUAGGAAGCUUCUGUCCAAAUAAGAACAGGUUUUGUGUUGGAAUUUAAAUUUCAAACCAUUAAGCCAAAGAACUUACAAUACACUCAUUUUCAUACUAACCUUGUAUCUUAUUAUUUUGCCUUGGCCAGAAGUUGUUCGUUUUGUUGUCUUUUUUCUUUUAAAGCAACAGCUAUUGUGCUCUUAGCUAAAUAGUUUACUGCUAUAUGAAAACUUGAUGUGUUUUUUCUUUAUCAGGAAAGGUGAUCUACAACAUUUGAGUUAAAUUUAUUUCAAGCAGCUCUUGUGAAUGUCUUUAAGCUGUGAGAUAAGCAGUUUUGUAGGUAGCUGCAGACACCAGAGAGGAUGGAAGGGGGUGAAGGAGAACUAGGAUGUGAGACUCUCCAGUAGGCUACUCUAGAACACAACAGCAUUUCAGUAUGCUAUGUUCUUACUGUUUCGAAUGGCUGUUUAAUUUUUCAGCUCUGAAUAGCUGUAUGAGGCUUCAAAUGUUCACGAGGGAGCAGAACCACGUUAUUUAAGAAUGUAAAAGGAAUGCAGGACAUCUGCAAUUAUUCUGAGUUCAUCAGGUUUAGUAGACGCAAGUUGUUUCUUUUUAUCCUAUAGUAAAACAAGAGUGAAUUCCAAGUGUAACUUUUGUAAGGCAUGAUUGCUUGUCUGUAAGAAAGGUUUUUAUAAGAUGGAAUACCAUCAUAAACGUGGUGAUACUUUUUUUUUUUCAAGAGAGUUUCAAGUCCCACGUCUGUUACUAGUGACAUAUUUUCUGGGUUUCUGAAUCAACCCAGAAGAGUUUCAGCAGUGUGUAAUGUUAACCACGUUCUCAUGAGUCACUGCUGAAAAUACUGGUCAGUGGAUUGCAGAAAGGAAGGCACAUCAAAGGAGGAAUUGCAAACGUAGGAAUGAAUGGUAGAGUUUCAUUUUGAGAUGUGUGAUUGAAAUGUGACUUAGAGAGGAAUGGUGGAUGUAAAUUUUUUUUUUUUUGUGGUACAAGUGCUUACCUGGCUCAGGACAAGCCUGCUUCCUCCCUUCUCUGACAGCAGAAGCAAUUCCUGUUUCAUCCCUCUCUAAUUCCAGAGUGAUUCCUCAUCACUACAGGAGUCAAUUUCUGAGUAGCCAGGCUUCUGUUUUCAUUAAGUUGAGGAUUCAACAGAUAAACAGGAUGCUUCUAAAAUCAGAUAGGUGUAAGAGGUGUCAGAUCUUUGCCUUCUGAUUUAGAGCAUAAAGCAGUACUGCCUUCUGUAGUUUUCAUGUGUGUAAAUGAAAAUUGAUGUGUAUUUAACAUACCGAGGUAGGUCUGCCAUUCAGUGAUGUUUGUAAUCUUGCUUCACAUGCAUACUUGUUCUAAAUACCUAGCCAACCUACAGGCAGAUUUACAAAAAGGGCAGGUAUGUUUGUGCAUUCAUCUGUGUAUAAAAAUGUUCCCACUUUCUGUUUAUAAAAUCGUGCAUGAAUGUGGGUUGGAUGGAACCUCUGAGAAACAUCUCAUCCAAUCUGCUGCUCAUCAUAGGGCUGGCUCCAGGUUUGGAUCAGGCUACUCAGGACCUUGGCUAGCUAAAUCUCAAAAAACGCUGAAUAUUAUACAACAUUUUGAAAUGUUUAAUAGAGCAUAGGGCUCAGGAUUUAAGAUUAAUAGGAAAAGGAAAAUAGUAAUGCAUAUAUAUUGGUUUUUUUGCUCUUGUGGCAGUCUUUCAAGAUAUGUGACUUGACAAUAUGGGAGUGCUUGAAAUAUAUUUGUUUGGAUGCCUACAUCAUACAACUGCAGGCAAUUACCAAAUGUAUUAGUUUUAUCUGUGUGCAUAUAGAAAGUAUUUCAAAGGUGCCAAAAAGACCUUAUUUUGUCUGACCCUCAGAGGGGAUGUAUUUUGAAGUGAUGAGACUGCACACACUGUGCUAAGUUGUCUUUGUUACAUUACUGUCAUGUUUGAUUUUGCAAUCAAGUUGUAUUUCUAUCAAUAAAAAUGUUUUGGUGAAUGUGUUCUGAAUAUGCACUGGCACUGUGCACUGAGGCACUGAAAAAUCACAUUAUAUAGGAUGGA